UCAUACCUAUGCCUCCAUGUGUAAAGCCCAUUAACCCAGCCCAGCAGAUACGAGAGCUGUUUGUUUUGGUCGAUUCAGUUCGUCGCAUCCCCUGCUCCGUGUUCGUUGUUUCCUGUUGCAGUGCUGCUCGUACGCGAUACUCUCCAUGGCCGUAGUUUAGGGCUACUGCCGACCUGCCGCCGGUGAUUGAGCGGAAGCAGUCGGAAUGCCGCAGCGACUCGAUCUUGCGACCAUCCAGCAGGAGCGGACACCAACAGGCCCCACGCGACCAAGCCCUAGGCAGGAGAGUCGCAGACGCAGGCUGGCAACGGCUAGGCUGCCGGCGGUUAGCACCGGCGGGGGCGGCGAUCCGGUCAUCCGGCGCAGGCACAACCACACAAGUGCAAGCCCGCCGCAGCCCGCAGCUGCUCCAAUUCCUGCCGGCAGGGCGCACGCCUCACUGCAAAACUGAUGUAUAUGCGCGCCUACAUGGGACAGAAGAAUUUUCUUAUUUCCUUUGGAGUGGAUAUUUUGUCAGAUUUAGCAUCAUUUAUGCAAUAAUGUAGAUACUAGAAGAUGUUGCAAUAUUUGAUAUUGGGAUCAUAAGAGAAGAGAGCAGGCAGCCCAUGUGAUUGCGGAUUGA